rnacentral:rRNA from 1 species
CCUACGGGAGACAGCAGUCGAGAAUCAUUCACAAUGGGGGAAACCCUGAUGGUGCGACGCCGCGUUGGGGAAUGAAGGUCUUCGGAUUGUAAACCCCUGUCAUGUGGGAGCAAAUUAAAAAGAUAGUACCACAAGAGGAAGAGACGGCUAACUCUGUGCCAGCAGCCGCGGUAAUACAGAGGUCUCAAGCGUUGUUCGGAAUCACUGGGCGUAAGGCGUGCGUAGGCUGUUUCGUAAGUCGUGUGUGAAAGGCGCGGGCUCAACCCGCGGACGGCACAUGAUACUGCGAGACUAGAGUAAUGGAGGGGGAACCGGAAUUCUCGGUGUAGCAGUGAAAUGCGUAGAUAUCGAGAGGAACACUCGUGGCGAAGGCGGGUUCCUGGACAUUAACUGACGCUGAGGCACGAAGGCCAGGGGAGCGAAAGGGAUUAGAUACCCCAGUAGUC